UACGUAGGGUGCGAGCGUUGUCCGGAAUUAUUGGGCGUAAAGAGCUCGUAGGCGGUUUGUCGCGUCUGCCGUGAAAGUCCGGGGCUCAACUCCGGAUCUGCGGUGGGUACGGGGCAGGACUAGAGUGAUGUAGGGGAGACUGGAAUUCCUGGUGUAGCGGUGAAAUGCGCAGAUAUCAGGAGGAACACCGAUGGCGAAGGCAGGGUCUCUGGGCAUUAACUGACGCUCAUGCACGAAAGCGUGGGGAGCAAACAGGA
rnacentral:rRNA from 1 species